GACGAACGCUGGCGGCGUGCCUAAUACAUGCAAGUAGAACGCACAGUUUAUACCGUAGCUUGCUACACCAUAGACUGUGAGUUGCGAACGGGUGAGUAACGCGUAGGUAACCUGCCUGGUAGCGGGGGAUAACUAUUGGAAACGAUAGCUAAUACCGCAUAAUAUUGAUUAUUGCAUGAUAAUUGAUUGAAAGAUGCUAUUGCAUCACUACCAGAUGGACCUGCGUUGUAUUAGCUAGUAGGUGAGGUAACGGCUCACCUAGGCGACGAUACAUAGCCGUCCUGAGAGGGUGAUCGGCCACACUGGGACUGAGACACGGCCCAGACUCCUACGGGAGGCAGCAGUAGGGAAUCUUCGGCAAUGGACGAAAGUCUGACCGAGCAACGCCGCGUGAGUGAAGAAGGUUUUCGGAUCGUAAAGCUCUGUUGUAAGAGAAGAACGGGUGUGAGAGUGGAAAGUUCACACUGUGACGGUAGCUUACCAGGAAGGGACGGCUAACUACGUG
rnacentral:rRNA from 1 species